UACGAGGGGGGCGAGCGUUGUUCGGAAUUAUUGGGCGUAAAGGGCGCGUAGGCGGUGCGGUAAGUCACCUGUGAAAUCUCCUGGCUCAACUGGGAGCUUGCAGGCGAAACUGCCGUGCUGGAGUGUGGGAGAGGUGCGUGGAAUUCCCGGUGUAGCGGUGAAAUGCGUAGAUAUCGAGAGGAACACCAGUGGCGAAGGCGAGUCCCUGGACAACACCUGACACUGAGGCACGAAAGCUAGGGGAGCAAACAGG
rnacentral:rRNA from 1 species